AUGAUUUUUUCUUUAUCUUUUAUCGCAUUCUAUGGAGUCAGUCAUGUUUCUACAGCAGUCCACAAGGGACAAACCAAGCACUGGCUGUAUAUAAGGCGAAGGACUUGCAAACUGCAAGUACAUAUCCUACUAAAUCCUACCUUUAAAAGAGAGAUGCAGUGUUCACCUUGGGGCCAGUGUGCUGCACUUCAGCGUAUGCACCUUGAGCAAGGGGACAGUGGAUAUGCAGGUUUAAUUGAGGUAAUAUAGUAUUGAUUUCUGUUCCCUACACCUCUUUUUUUCCCCACAGCUGCUUGGCUUCAGGCAUUCGAGUACCUGACCAGCCAGUAACACUCACAGGCUUUAAUGCACCAGGAGCCCUGUAUCAUUGCUAAUGACCUAGCUAAUUAUCUGCACGAUAAACAUUAUCUGGUCAUUUUUCACCUUGUACAAACCUAACGGACAUUGACUCAGCCUGCUAUUGAUAUCUGAAGGUGUUAAAGGGGCAGUCUGGGAUAAAAUGCUCAAAGACUUAAAGGCAGAAUGAGUAGGAUUUGUCGGUUUUGGUUUGUAAACACAACAUUCAAAGUUGGCCCCACCUAACUGGCUCUUCAGGGAUGCAUGCUUACAAUCUGGCACCUGGUCACUCCAUUUUUAUAGAGUCCUAUGCCCACACCCUGCGCACUGUUAUUGGCUGGAGGGCAAGGCGAGGCAGGGCAUUUAUAUUUAUAAAGCAUGUGUCAAACACAAAGGUGGAUUCAAGGUUACAGUUCAAAGUUAUAACAGCACAGUUCAAUGCUAAAACCACACAGUUAAAAAACGACUUUUAAUAAUAGUAAGAUUAAAAAUAAGAUUAAAUAAAAUAAAUGUAGGUAAAAGUGCUUGAGUAUAACAAGGUUUUCAUUCUCAAUUUAAAAACCGGGUGCACCCACUAGACUCAGAAGAGUCAGGAACACAAAAUAAGAAAAUCCAGGCAGAGGUCAGGGUCUCUGCAGAAACAGAUAUUGCCACAUUAUUUUUCUAUACAUUGGUUUAACAUCCAGAGGAUGGUUGCACUCCUUCUUUCAUGUGUGUGGAUGAAAUGAUCAGGAAGUUAAUUCAUGCUUAUAAUAAUAUCAGAAAAUAACUGACCUUCAGUGUGAAAUUAGAAGUGCUGCGUGCAGCUAUUUGUCAAAUCCAAGUGAAGGACAUUUUCUCCCCAAGUCUCUUUAGUGUAUGCUGGGGUUCUGUGGUUUAAUUGACUUCUUCUUGUGAUGUUUGAUAGAGUAAAAACAGUCUCUGUGAAGGUUUUGGCUGAACAAAAUUAGUUUAAAAGCCAAUAAAAGACCAGAGUAAUGUAUAUUUAGGGUAGUUUGUCAAAUUAUUUGUGAAUCUGUAUUUUAAUUUUUUAUUAUUAUUGUUAUAUUUUUCAAUUAUUUGUGUUAUUAUUAUUUUUAUUUUUCAAUUAUUUAUAAAAAAUAAACCAUCAAAACCCAAGCACUGUACAUGCAGUAUGUACAGUAUAUGGACGGUUUUCAUGCUUUUUUUUUGUUGGAAUCUUAAAUGUUUUGUUUUGUAAAAUAAUGGCAGGGGUCAUACAGUGCAGCCCUUAGCCGCAGAAUUUUUAAUACUACUUUAUUCACAUCAUGUCCAUUGUUGCUUAUUGUGUUUCUGCUGGGUUUGAUUCUCCCACAACAGAGCUUUUCACCAGAACUCUGUUCAGCAGCCAACUCUCAUGAGUCUCACAUUUCAGAGUCUCUUACCAGCACAUGAAUGUAGCAUAGGUCAGGACACUUUUCACAUGAGUCUGCACUUGUAAAUUCCCUUCAAUAAGUUAAAUUUUGAUGACUAUAAAGAGAUUCAUUGUAAUGGCUUAUCAAGGUUAAGUAAGUUUCAAUUCAAUUAAGUGGUCAAUAUAUCAUACUAAAAUAAAUGGAAACCAACAAAAAAACACAUUCAACAAUCUACAACACUGGAAAAAUGAAUCAUAUUCUUUAGUUAGACCACAAUGUUAAAAUACUUAAUUACAAAUAAAAGUUGUACAUUCAAAACCUUUUACUUUGUAGAAUGAUCAACAGCAUGUAUUUAAAUCAUGAAAUGCAUUCUCAGUGUGUUUAAUAGCUCUCUUCAGAGUGCUAUUUUUCAUUGUAGAUUAUUAUUGGUGCAUUAGUAUGAAAGUUGCAUUUUAUUGUAGUAGCUGGUUGAGGUCAUUUCAACAUCUGUGUAUUAGGUAAUUAAUAUUAGGCUUGGAAUUUAGGUUGUAAGAUUUUAUAUAUAAAAAACAGUUGGUCUGCAAAGUAUAACUGUAGCUGUGAAAUAAAUUCAAUUCAACUCAAUUCAAUUUUAUUUGUAUAGCGCCAUUUCAUAACAGAAGUUAUCUCAGGACACUUUUCAAAUAGAGCAGGUCUAGACCGAACUCCUUAUAACAUUUACAGAGACCCAACAGUUCCCACCAUGAGCAAGCACUUGCCGACGUCAGCAAGGAAGAACUUCCUUUUAAGAGGCACACUAUGAGUAGUGACUGAUGAUGAUGAUAACAUAAGGAAGAAGAUGAUGACAACGACAACAACAACGAUUGGAGACAAUGAGCAGUGACAAUAGUAAUUACAGUAACUGUAGUAAUGAUGAUAAUAAUAAUAAUAUCAGUGAUAUUAGCAAUGGCAGUCAAGCAGGGCCAUGGCAGGAGGCUCCACCAGGAUUCAUGAGAACCUGCGAGACCGAAAGCACAAGAACUCCGGGGAAGAAGUAAAGUUAGUAACAUGCAUUAAUGGGACAUGAAUGUGUGCAGAAAGAGAGGGAGAGGAUGAGAGGAGCUCAGUGCAUCAUGGGAAAUCCCCCGAUAGUCUAGGCCUAUAGCAGCAUAACUAAGGGAUGGUUCACCUGAGUCAGCCCAAACUAUAAGCUUUAUCAAAGAGGGACGUCUUAAGCCUACUCUUAAAUGUGGAGAGGGUGUCUGCCUCCUGAACCACAACUGGAAGCUGGUUCCACAGGAGAGGAGCUUGGUAACUGAAGGCUCUGGCUCCUGUUCUACUUUUAGAGACUAAAGGAACUACAAUUAGCCCUGCAUUCAGAGAACACAGUGUUCUAGAGGGGUAAUAGGGUACUAUGAGCUCUUUAAGAUAUGAAGGGGCCUGACCAUGAAGAGCUUUGUAGGUGAGGAGGAGGGUUUUAAAUUCUAUUAUGAUAUAUACAAAGAAGCUAAUAGAGGAGAGAUAUGAUCUCUUUUCCUAGUUCCUGUCAGUCCUCGUUCUGCAGCAUUCUGAAUUAAUUGGAGCGUCUUACUGGACUUAUUGGGGCCUGAUUAUAAGUAUUUGCAGUAAUCCAGCCUAGAAGUAACAAAUGCAUGG
ensembl:lncRNA